UGCUGCUUGGGGCGUUCCUGUGGGGUUAGCGGUGUGUGGAGGGCAGUGAGAACGGGCAUUGGGACAUAAAAGUCCCAGGUGGCUGUGUUCCCUGCAUGGGGAGCUGCGUUGGAGCCGUUUGUAGCCGUUAAGUGUGUCGGGUGAGGCGGUGGGACGGGGCCUGGCUCUGUUUGCUGUGUCUUUUACCAGGUAGGCUUGUGAAUGAGGUGCCAGGGAUGGGCUGGUAGGGCUUAGUUUCUGUGCCUUCUGGUAGGGCAAAACCCCCUGCUUGUUGUCUCCGUGUAUUUGAAACUGGUUUUAGCAAACACGGGGACCGGUUUUAUCGCGGGUACAGGCAAAAUGUGCUUUAUGUGCUCGGUGGGAUUCCUGCUUGCCCCCUUGCAUGCAGUCACCAGGUGUUUGGUGGAGCUGUUACCCUUGGUUUUACCUCAGGUGGCUGUAAAAGCCUCUGGGAGCUGCUUGUCGAUAUCCACAAAGGUGGGGAUUGCUGGAAAACUGCCUUGUCCAACUGUUUUGCAGCGCAGGAGGGAGAUGCUUUUACCUGCCUUGAGAGCAGAUAAACUGCAAUGAAAGUGACUGACAGCUAAGCACAAGUUAUGCUGAGAGCCGGGAGAAAGGUCAAGCUGGAUCCAGCUUAAGGUGUGAACAGAGGUGGCCCCUGGGCUGAGACUUCCCAAAGGAAGGUUUGGGCUGGAAGUUUGUGUUCAUGGCACAGGUGAAGACCUUUGGAAAAGGACUUUAAUCAUGGGAACAAAGUCUCUGUUAAGUAGCCAAAAUAACGGUUAAAGUUUCUGAGGAUGCAGGGAUACUUUUUCCUUUGUUAGAUAGAAGAGCAUGUUCUGUGUUCUAAUGGUAUGGAAUUGUAUAAAGUGCCCCCUCCAAAGGGUUGGGGGAGCUUGCUCAAAGUUCAAACCCAACAUUAAAUGUUUUAACCUGUUAGUUUCCCUUCUGCCUCAUUUGUGUGCAUGCUGCUUUGUGUUGCAAGGGGUUGAGAGGCCUCGAGAGCUGAAAAGGAAUGGAAAUGUUCCAUAAAUAAAUGUUUUUGCGGAGUAAAGCUUUUCUUAAACAAGAACAGCAAAAUCUGGACUGAUACUUUUAGGAUACGAAAGAAAGUGAAUCAGUUUUAAAACUGGACGUGAUCAUGCCAUUUAACUGUGGAUCCUGCUUUGUAAUAGAGGAGGAAACAGUUACAUGUUGAUGAAGCACUCCUUGGUCUUAGUUGUGGAGUUUUCAUUAAGUGUUUCUAUGAAUAAAGCUGUCAAACUGUUACAGAUUUCAUUGA